AACGAACGUUGGCGGCGUGGAUUAGGCAUGCAAGUCGUGCGGAAAGGCUCCUUCGGGAGUACUCGAGCGGCGAAAGGGAGAGUAACGCGUGGAUACCUACCCCCGGAUCCGGGAUAGCGGCGGGAAACUGCCGGUAAUACCGGAUAAUGUCUCCGGACCAAAGGUGUGAUUCCGUCUGGGGAUGGGUCCGCGUCCUAUUAGCUUGUUGGUGGGGUAACGGCCUACCAAGGCAGAGAUGGGUACCGGGUGUGAGAGCAUGGCCCGGCUCACUGGGACUGAGACACUGCCCAGACACCUACGGGUGGCUGCAGUCGAGAAUCUUCGGCAAUGGGCGCAAGCCUGACCGAGCGACGCCGCGUGCGGGAUGAAGGCCUUCGGGUUGUAAACCGCUGUCAGAGGGAAAGAAAUGUUCGGGGGUUCUCCCCCGGAUUUGACUGAACCUCAGAGGAAGCACGGGCUAAGUUCGUG
rnacentral:rRNA from 1 species